rnacentral:misc_RNA from 1 species
GACGAAGAACGCAGCGAAAUGCGAUAAGUAAUGUGAAUUGCAGAAUUCAGUGAAUCAUCGAAUCUUUGAACGCACAUUGCGCCCCUUGGUAUUCCGAGGGGCAUGCCUGUUCGAGCGUCAUAUUAACCACUCCCGCUUGCGGGGUCUUGGGCUUCGCCUCCGGGCGGGCCUUAAAAUCAGUGGCGGUGCCGUCGGGCUCUACGCGUAGUAAAUUUUCUCGCGAUAGGGUCCCGGUGGAUGCUUGCCAACAACCCCCAACUUCUUAAGGUUGACCUCGGAUCAGGUAGGGAUACCCGCUGAACUUAAGCAUAUCAAUAAGCGGAGGA